UGUGCAUAGACGUCAAUGUAAUUUCUGCAGCUUGAAAGACAGCGAUUUUUGAUAAAACUGGCCUUGUAGCGCAUUGUCUAGCUUACAACGAUGGGAACGAGGCAUUGUUUAUGUUAUGACAACGUAUAUCUCAUGAGUUAUUGAUGGCGGAAGUCCGAAUCUGUGAAUAGCUUGCCAACUUUACCUAACUCAAGUGUGGAGCCAAACGACAACAAGAUUCUCAGAGGGCGGAGCCAGAGAGCAGUGAUUGGUCAGACCAUAGACAAUAUAGAAGACAGCGCGCUAGCGUAUCUAGUCUAUGUAUAUCUAUGGUCAGCACGUCUGGUAGCAUCUCUGGCUGCUGUUGAUCUUGUUUUUGGAGUAAAACACGGUGGAAGCUGAAUUAGUGAGGAUGACUCCUGUUCCUGUCAUCUCUAAGCUCCUCACACAUCUUUACCUGCACAUGAGGAAAAUCACUCCUGUAGAAUGCAGUGGUUCAUCAGAACCUCUGGGGAUGUCCUGUGGAUUCUGUGGGUCCUGUGGGUUGCAGGGUGGAUCCUACCUAGACCAGGCUGAUCCUGGACCAUCCCACAGAUGCUCCAUCAGAUCUGGAUGUGGGGAGUGUGGAACCCAGAUGUUCAGAGGGAGAUGAUGCCACAUCUGGUCCAGCUGAUGGAAGGUCUUGAAGUUCUCUGACUGGCCUCGACUGAAGAUGGUCGUCUCACUGGAUUUAAGGUUCAGAUGCUCAGUAACAAACUCCACCAAUGAGCCAACAGGGAAGCUUUAGGUUUAUUAAAUGUUGCUACUGAAGGUUUCACUGUUUUUCUUUGUGAAUGCAAUGUGCUCCAACUGAAACUUGAAUUAGAACUUAGAAGUAAAUCUUUCCAUCUGAAAGGAUUUAGUUGCAUUAAUAACCUCAUAACAUUCUAAUUUUUCUUCCAGUCUUGGUUGGAAAUAGAAUCUCUGUAUUGAUUCAGGUAAAAACUGAACUUCACAGCAUGUUGGAGCAAAACAACCAGAUGAAAACUGUGAUGGUGUUGGAUUGUCAGACCAUAAUGUUGCAGCUCAAAGCAGCUUUUCUAGCUCAGUUCAUUCUGACAUUCAGCUAUGAAUCAACACAGCAGAUGGUGAUCCAUGCUGUGGAAGUCUCACAUCUCCUGAUUUAAUGGAGCUGCUUUGCACUUUUUACACUGUUUAUUCACCAACACUUUAUUUAAUAAAAGUCGCAUCUAGUUUUUAUGAGGAAUGUGAUGUUUUAAUUUCUCUGUGAAUAACUGCAGUCUAAUGCAACAGCUGGAGUUGUAACAUCUGUCCUGAUAUUGAUCAUGAAGUAUUAAUCAGAAUGAUCAGAUGAGUUUGUUUUUACUGCCAGCUACCAUUCAGUCUGAGAUAUUAAGAAUAAAUAAAUGUGCAUAAUGUGGAAAUGAACAGAUUCGAUUUUUAUUUAUUCCUACAGCUGCUGCAGGUUCCAAAGUUCCAGAAUGUGGAGGAAUUUAGUCUCACAAUCACAGAUAAAUAUCAUCUGAAAGUCGGGUUAUUGUUGUUUAUCAGCACAAUACAAAAAGAUUAAUGUUAGAAAUAUUCCAGUUAAGACUCUAGAAUAUCAAGAUUUAUGUAAAUUUACCUCAAUAAUAUGAAUGUUCAGGUUAAGAUUGUACAGUGAUAUUUAUUAUGUAAGUUUAGCUGAUUAAAGUUUAUGACUCUGCACUAAAAUAUUAUUUAAAUUGACAUCAUUAUUAUAAUAUUUAGGGUCAGACCCUACAGUAUUGAGAUUAAGAAAUCAAAUAUUUUAUAAAAUGUAAAUACACUGAACUCAUUUGGAUAUAUUUAAGUGAGACUCUACAAUAUUAUUUAUGACACAAAUCUAUCUAAAUCAAAAUUUUAAUCAUUUUCAUGCCAAACAUUUACUGGACUGAUUUAAAUAUUAAAAUCACUCCUUUCUAAUCCUCUGCUGUACGUUCAAACCUGAGGCCUUAAAUAGAAACACACAAGUAUCUGAUUGAAGGAACUUCUGUAGAGUCCUGGUUCCAGAACAUGAUGAUAGAAUUAUAGACAAACUUUAACAAAAGCUGCCUGAGAGUUUACAGGUUUUUAUGUUGGAUUUCUUCAGUAAUUUAAUGAGCAUUAUCAGCAAUAAUCAAGUGGUCAUUUGAUGAACUUCAUUUCCUAAAACAUCCAGAAUUGGAGCUCAUAUCUUUGACAGCUGUAAAGUUUCUGCUCCUUCAAAGUUCACAACACAAUGAAUGAAUUCCUAAAACACUCUCAAUGCUGGAGAGCGUUUGUGAUGCUGAAGCAGUGAUCAGUUUUUCUGUUUCUUCUCUGGAGAUGCACAAUGAGGGACGUCUGCAGAGACUGAGAAAGAGUCUCACCACAUCCUGACAUGAGGAAAAAGACUUUAUUGAAGACUACAAUGAGAAAAACUAUCAGACAGCAGACGGCUGCAUUCAAGUCUGUAGCUGCUGAAUUCAUGGAUGAAUCAUCUGGCACUAGAGAAGAAGACCAUCAAACAUCCACGUCAGCUGAUGGAGGUCCAAGAGUCUCACCAAACAAACAACCUACAGAGUGAAGACCUCAAAUCUGAUUGGACGGCCUCCUAUUCAGCCACGUGUGAACAAAUGCCUCUAAGUUGAUUUGUUUUCUAAAAUAAAUCUAGUUUGAGUCCUAAUCUAUGCCUGUGUGUUUGCUUCUUUACACUGCUGUUAACAGUUUAGGCUGUUAGAUUGUUCCAGAUAAGACAAGUACAAGAUUCUUCAGAGCCUUUCUACCACGAGCCUGACAGGAAGAACUCCAACAGCUACUGAAUGUUCCUGUGGUCUCCUCGAGGCUACAGGAGGAGCCCGACGAGGACGAGCCGGUCCACCUGAUGGAGGCCAGUCGCUGCAGUUCAAAGCCAACACCGACUACGUGGACUUCUACUGGACCACACGGAGGCCUUCAAACCGGACCAACAAGUUCACCGACUCCCCGACUCGUGGGUCUGAGGACGCCGCCGAGCCUCGGUCCAGCCGGCCUCCUGUCUGUGGGUGUUUGAGUGCUGAGAGGCCUCCGUUGACUCGUCCCGCCUGCCGUCUCUGGAGCUGAAGCUGGAUUGGAACAGACCAAAGUACAGUCCAAUCACGAUGUCUGCUGCCUCUCAAAAGGCUCCUUCAUCUGGCAGGUGGCAGCACUUCUUCUGAGGGGAAGCUGAGCUGGCCCGGCAGAACUUUGGAGAUGUGUUCCAGUGGUUGGUGGAUGUGUGGGGAGAUAGAGAGGGACCUUUGAAUUGUUCAGAAAGGAAAACAGGAAACCCAUUGGUAGUUUUAGUUUAGGGUGCUACUGCGGUUUGUUUUUGGGUUUUAAGAGGUGAACAGGAAGAGGUUUUUUUUGGUAUUGAUUAUCUUUUACUUUGUUCCUGGUUGGAAUGCCCAUCAAUGUCAACAUGAAGUUCACUUUUAGUUCUGUUUAUUUAUUUUUAUUUUACUAACACCCAUUUGCUUUUAACCCCCUCACAUGUUGUUGUAAACUUCCUCUUUCAAAUAAAUACUCGUCUAACCCUCUGGAAA